rnacentral:tRNA from 1 species
AUCAGCUGGGGCGGGGGCGGCCAGCCCUGCUGCGGGUAGGCCGGCUGGGGCCAGCCCGGCUGGGGCUGCUGGUUCCAGGCCGGGGGCGGGCC